CAUGGUGGAGAUGAAGGCUGGAGUGAGUGGAUUUGGCUGUAUUGGGCGCCUGGUCACCAGGGCUGCUUUUAACUCUGGCAAAAUGGAUAUUGUCACCAUCAAUGACCCCUUCAUUAAACUCAACCACAUGGUCUACAUGUUCCAGUACAACUCCACAGCUCCAUCAAGGCCAAGAACAGGAAGCUUGUCAUCAUUGGAAAUCCCAUCUCCAUCUUCCAGGAUCGAGAUCUCACCAAAAUCAAAUGGGGCAAUGCUGGCACUGAUUAUGUGAUGGAGUCCACCAGGGUCCUCACUACCUUCGAGAAGACUGGGGCUCACUUACAGGGGGAAACCAAAAGGGUCAUCAUCUCUGCCCUCUUCACUGACACCCCCAUGUUUGUGAUGGGCAUGAACCAUGAGAAGUAUCAGAACAACCUCAUGAUUGUCAACAAUACCUCCCGUACCACCACCUGCUUAGCCCCUCUGGCCAAGGUCAUCCAUGACAACUUUGGCAUCACGGAGGGUCUCGUGACCACCGUCCAUGCCAUCACUGCCACCCAGAAGACCGUGGAGGGCCCCUCUGAGAAUCUGUGGCAUGAUGGCCACGAGGUCCUCCAGAACACCAUCUCUGGAUCCAGCAGCGCUGCUAAGCCCAUGGGCAAGGUCAUCCCCGAGCUGAAGCGGAAGCUUAUGGUCAUGGCCUUCCAUGUCCCCACUGCCAAUGUGUCCGUAGUGGACCUGACCUGCCAUCUAAAGAAAUCUGCCAAAUAUGAUGACAUCAAGAAAGUGGUGAAGCAGUCAUCUGAGGGUCCCCUCUAGGGCAUCCUGGGCUAUACCAAGCACAGGUUGUAUCCUCCAACUUCAACAGUGACACUCAGUCUUCUACCUUUGAUGCUGGGGCUGGCAUUGCCCUCGAUGACCACUUUGUCAAGCUCAUCUCUUGGUAUGACAGUGAAUUACAGCAACAGAGUGGUGGAUCUCAUGAGUCCCAUGGCCUCCAAGGAGUAA